UCCAGUUCCCUCCCCCCAUCCCCCUCUCUGAUGAAGGGUCUAGGCCUGAAACGUCAGCUUUUGUGGUCCUGAGAUGCUGCUUGGCCUGCUGUGUUCAUCCAGCUUCACUCUUUGUUAUCUGGACUCCUCAUAAGUCACAACAGGUUUGGAUGGGAUUAGAAAAAGAUACCUAUUUAGAAUCGUGUCGAAUAUUUCAGAGGUAUGUCAGAAAAUGUACACUUUGAUUGGUGAUGCCUCAGGUGUUAAAUUGGUGAUGUUCGUCCCUCACAGCCAGAGCAGCUGAGCCCGAGUUCUCCUUCCUCCUGAAGUGUGUCACAAAUCUCUGAACAGGAUGCUUAGAAAGCCACUACUUGUGUUGGUGAAGUGUAACUCUAUCCUCGGCUGUGUCAGGUUGAGUCUCUAGCGGUUCCUUCCCUAAAAGAUUAUUAGAGUCGAGUGUUGGGACAUUUUCAAGAAAAACAUGCAUAUGAAGAAUGUGUUGAUUGGUUGUCAGAAGUAGGCGGAAAUGUGGAAUUAUGUUCGUAAUCAAGUCAUCCAUGAUUUUCACCAAUGGUGGACCAGGGUAGUGAGACGGAUGACCUACUUUUGCUCUUAAAUGGUCACAUCCCUGCAAGCAUUCAAUCUUGCAUUUCCUUUCUGCAAACUUUGAAUUCAGCAAUAUAUGACAAGAAUCGUUGAAAAUUUCAUAAACUUAUUUUAUUCAGCUUAUUUUUAGUUUGCAACUGUGAAAUGCAGCUGGCAAAGUGGUGUUGAACAUUGGGCAGCAGCGUGUCUUCUAAAGGAGGUAAGAGCAAACACUUUGGGGUUUGUUUGUGGGAGCUGGCCUGGAGAGAGACAAUUGCAGGCUAAUUAUUCGCAUGAAAACAAUAGCGGACAUUUUGGCUCCUUGGUUGAAAUUGGCUCUGGACUAGCACCAUAUUGAAUGUUGAGUAAGUCAAACAAGUGUUGCCAGUUUGCUGCCAGCAAAUCAUGUAUAAUGUGGAAUAGGGAGGAAAUGUGAAAGCGUGAACCAGUUCUGACUGCUGAUUUGAGGUCACGGGCGCAUGUUGUAAAAACCAACUUCUCGACGGCUUUGCUAUGUUUUGCAUUUCCGUAGAAAUCAGCUUGAUUGCACUUGCAGCCUUAUUGGUUGCUCUAAUCAGAAGACAAACUGUCUGUAAAUAAUGAGUGAUUUACCAUGGCCUGUUUGCAUCAAGCAUUGAUUUCGAAAUUCAAGCCUAUGAACAAUUGUAUUAAUGAAGAAUUUCUGAAGGCCUGCAGCACACCGUAAAGAUGUUGAACUGUAAUAAACUUGGUGUCUGAUGUCUGAUAUCUCCUCCAAUGCCGACUGUAAGAUACCUUUUUAAAGUCCGUUUCGGAACAAUCGAGCGAUUUUGAGCAUCAUUCAAUCUUUUAAAUUUUAUUCUAUUAGCUGAAUGUCAACUUGACACUUGUCAAUUGGACUGCCUUGAAAGACACAUCAGAGUGCAAUUGGUGACUGUGAGGAAGCAUCUCGACAUAUAUCCCGGCCAACUCAAUCUUAAGCCAUGGAUCGAAUGAAUUUACUUUCGAACCUCAUGCUCUGCUCAAAGAAAAAACAUCUGCUGACAUCAGACAACACCUCACAAGCCGAUAUCCCUGGUAGAAUGCUAACAGCACCAAACCGCAUUUCCUUCGCGAGCAUUUCAGCCAAGCCAUCCGAUAGGGGAAGAAAAAAAACUGAAAGAAUUGAGGAUGCUGUUUAUCAGGAACAAAAACAAAGUUGCUGGAAAAGCUCAGCAGGUCUGGCAGCAUCUGUGAAGGAAGAAACGGAGUUAACAUUUCGGCUCCAGUGACCCUUCCUCAGAACUGAAAGCUGGAGCAGAUAAGAGGAGAAAAUGUGAUAGAGGACAUAAGAUGAAGGAUGAACAUAAAGCUCAGCGGCUCUGGUGGUAUCUGUGGAGACAGAAACAGAGUUAACGUUUCGGAUCCAGUGAAACUUCUUCAGAACAGUUCUGUUUAAAGAGAAAAGUUAACUCUGCUCAAUUCCAGAGAUGAUGGCAGCACAUCUGGGCUCUGGAAUAACUGUGGCCUGAUUAAGAUGAGGUGCUGGUUGAAUGAAAUGCGUGGAAACAGUUACAGAGCGAUCUGCAAAGACACAGGGAUUUGACUGCACUUCAUCUUCCAGCACACGAUGGAGAAGGGGAGGAGCGCGGGAGGAAAGGGGAAAACUGCCAAGGCCUCUCCUCCACAACCACUGUCUGUCACCAAGGUCACUCACAGUCAUGUACAUACACACUCACAUACACACACUCACAGUCAUACACUCCACACCUCACACAAAUUCAUACUCACUCACACACACUUUCGCACUCCCACUUACUCACACUUGCACACUCCACAUCUCACACAAACUCAUACAUGCAUACUCACACUCACACACCCAACAGGCACGCAACCUCAAUGCAUUCUCAACCAUACAUGUACGGUUACAUGCUCACACAUGCCAACACACAUACACACACAUACACUCUAGAACCACCCACACACACAGACACAUACUGUCUGUGUUUCACACACACACAUGUAUGCAAACACACAUAAGCACAGACACACAUACACACAUGCAGUCACGUACACACUCACGCACAGACACACCCUAUCUUUCACGCACACGCACACACAUGCACAAACACACGCACAAACAAGCGCACACACGCGCAUGCGCGCGCACACACACACACACACACACACAAAACAGCAGCAACAACAACAACACAUACAGGGUCAGUGCUGAGGGAGCUAAACCCAAGCCACAGCCAUGACAGAACUCAACGUGAUAUGGACUACAUUUUAAAUGCUAAAAUAUUGCAGCACACUGCUGUGCAGAGGGACUUGGGUGUCCUUGUGCAUGAAUCACUGAAGUUGGGAUUGUAGUGCAGCAGGUGAUUAAAAAGGCAAAUUGAAUUUUGUCUGCCAUUACAAGACGGAUGGAGUUUAAAAACAGGGAGGCUAUGCUGCAGCUGUCCAGGGUCCUGGUGAGGCCACACCUGGAGUACUGUGUGCAGUUUUGGUCUCCUUACUUGAGAAGGGAUAGACUCACACUGGAGGGGGCACAGAGGAGAUUCACUCGGUUCAUCCCAGAGUUGAGAGGGUUGCAUUAUGAGGAGAGACUGAGUAGACUGGGGUGAUACUCAUUGGAAUUCAGAAGAAUGAGGGCCGAUCUUAUGGAAACAUAUCAGGUUAUGAAGGGAAUAGAUAAAGUGGAGGCAGGGAGGUUGUUUCUGCUGGCAGGUGAAACUAGGACUAGAGGGCAUCGCCUCAAAGUAAAGGGAAACAGGUGGAGGACUGAGGACAGGAGAAACUUCUUCACCCAAAGGGUUGUGAGACUGUGGAAUUCCCUGCCUAGUGAAACGGUUGAAAUGACUUCACUGAAUGUUUUUAAGGCAAGGCUAGGUAAUGUUUUGAAAAGUAAAGGAAUUAUGGUUUAUGGUGAGUGGGUGGGUAAGUGGAGCUGAGCCUCAAAAAGAUCAGCCAUGAUCUUAUUAAAUGGCAGGGCAGGCUCGCGGGACCAGAUGGCCGACUACUGCUCCGAGCUCUUGUGUUUUUCCAUGGAAAUUGUAAAAUUGACGGAGGUCAAAAACAGCCAAGGUCAAAUGAAAUGGUGACCCACACUAAAUGGCCCACUCCUGCACCUAGCUCCUAUAACUGUGAACUCUUCUCUCGCUGUGCCUCACCAUUAGUAUGUCUGAGAAAGAGACAGUGGGAGACAUUGGUUCUUGUGUCACUGGAGGGAGUGAUUUCCUAUCAUCCAACACUUAUUGAUGAAUUACCCAUCAUUGUAACUGCAGAAAUUCCCAGGUUUUCAUGGAUUCUUCCCCCUACACACUCGCCAAAAUAAUCUCCCGCUCAUGCAGGGCAUAUGGUGGCCAGCAACAGAUCGCAUCAUUUUAAACACAACAGGGACAGGCAAAGAGGGCUUUAAGCAUAUCCCAUUGGAUUCACACACAACCCGCUCAAACAACUGAUACCCCAUUUCACAAAGGUACAGACACAUUUAUACACACACUUUCAAACGCAUGCUAACGCACAAGCUACAACAUACUAACACACAACAGACGGAAUCCCACAAACACAGAUACACUAAUACAUAAGCACAGAUACACAGAAGCCUACAAACACAUUGAAGAAGACAGAGGCACAGUCAGUCAUAGAUGUGGAGAUAGAAGUUCACUUAGAUAGACACGUAUAAACACACAAACACACACAGACACACUGAUACUGCCACACACAUACACAGCUGCAGAGACAAACACGCAAAAACAGAGGCACACCUAUAUGCAGAUACAGACAGACACUCACGAAUACAAAGAUACAGAAACAUGUGGAAAUGCAGAGGACAGGGACACAUAGCCAUGUGCAAAUACAGACAUUCAUCCACAGUUUAUAAUGUAGAAACACACAUCCAUACACAUAUAAUAACACAAAGACACAGACACACAUAUGCAGAUAGAGAAACACCCGAACACACAGCUAGAGUGACACACAUACAUCCAGAUACAGAGACACCCAUGCACAUGUACAGAUGCGCACACUCACACACUUACAAAGAUACAGACGUGCUCAUAUAUACAGACAUAGAGGCAAACACACAUACAUAGAGUGAUACUGUGGCUCAGUGGUUAGCACUGCCGCCUUGCAGUGCCAAGGGCACAGGUUCAAUUUUAACCCUGGGGACUGUCUUUGUGGAGUUUGCUCAUUCUUUCUGUCUGUUAUUUCCUUGCACAGUCCAACGAAAUGAAGAUUAGGUGCAUUGGUCGAGGCAGAUUCUCCAUAGCAUCCAGGGAUGUGCAGGCUAGGUAGAGCAGGGUUAGAAAAGGGGGUUGGUCUGUGUGGGAUGAUCUUUGCUGGGUUGGCAUUGACUUGAUGGUCCGGAUGGCCUGCUUCCACACUAUAUUUACACUUAAAUACAGAGAGACACACACGCGCAUAUUUACUCCCUGUGCAUUAGUCUGAGAAUAAACGCAAACUGUGUUAAAUCAGUUACUUUGCAGUCCUAAAAGUUGAAAUGUGGGGAACAGUCACGUAAUUUCUCCGGUGUUAUGCCAGGAAAUGGGUUCAUAUGUUUAAUCAACUUCUGUAAAUUUUGUAUGAUAGACUAAUGUCACUCGUACAAGGGAUCCAUGUGAUCACUUGAUUUUCAUUGGCAAAUUGGAUUAAUGUCCCUGUUCAACCUCAUUAAAAGUUAACUUGCUGACUUCACCUGUUCAUUCCGGUCCUGCUUACGCAUUGUGUUCUUCUGUGAGAAAAUCCUGUGUUCCCUUGUGGGAUUAAAGGUGUGUUCCCUGGCUGCAGAAUCCUGUGUUCAGUUUUGGUCUUUUAACUUCACCCCAUCCAAAAA